CACUGAAUCAUGGACAUCAUCAAUCUGACGUGUGCAGAGAUUCAGACUCCAGCGGGGUUUGUGUAUGUGAUUCUGUCUGUUAUAAUGAAUCAAACUAAUAAUCCUGACUGUGAGCAGAGCUGGUAUCUACAGGAUGGACUUAAGAUAGCAGAUCCAUCAGAUCCUCAAACACUGAUUGCUCCUGUGAUUUCUGUGUCUUCUGAUCGUCUCGUCACGUCUCGCUGUGUGAAUCUGAUUCAUGAGAUCCGCUGUGAUGCUUCAGGAUCUCAUUCCAGUCGUGAGACCAUGUUCAGAGUGAGGAAUGAAACUGCAGCGACUCCAAACUCAGAUCUCCUGAAUGAAGCGUCUCUCCAGUACUCAGAUCAGCUGUGGUGGCUUCUGGCUGUUUUCAUCAUCAUUUUUCUGGUAUUUCUCUGUUUCUUGCUGCGUAAAAGGAUCUUCAGGACACUGAUGAAGGUCAGAUCUGAUGAUCCUCAUGCAGUGCAGGAAUCUGAGCAGUUCAAAGCUCCUGAGAUUGAGGUCUGAAUCUACAUCACGGCUCAUUCUUCAUAUCAGCUCAAACUGAACGAGGCACAAAGCUGAUUUCCAGAACCUUCACCGUCUCUGUUCCUCUGAUCCACCAGCCUCCACACCAUCUCCUCAAACCAUCACGACUGAUGCUGAAGACAUCUGAACCAGUCCACAACAUUAAAAACCAAAUAUUGAUUUGAUUUAGUUAAUAGAAGUUAAUUGGUAAAAAAAAAAUCCAUUUAUGACAAUAUUUUUGAAAGCAUCCUUACUUUAAAGCAUAUUUACACAAGUGCCUAAAACUUCUCACAGUACUGUAGCUUUGGAGGCAGGUUUCUUAAAAUGUCAUAAAAAAAAUUUAUGACAGUUUUUAACAUUUUUUGUCCUCUAAGGACCUCAGAGUAACUUUAAUUUAAAAAUUAUGCACAAGGGUAAAUUAGUGCAGUUAAUAUGUCUGUGGAUGGCACAGGUCUACUUAUUAAAAAAAAGUUAAAGUGUUGAAGGAUUUGAUGAUUUUACUAUACAAUACAAUGUAACAUUUAUUCCAAUGUGUAAUUUCUAUUAGUGCAAUACAAUCUCAUGUGCAAUCAGGAAGACAAGAGAUUUUCAUUGGGACAGUAUUAUUUCAGCUUCAAUUAAUUUUGGAACAGACACAUAACGGAUCCCUCACACACAGAAACAAACAAUACUGUCAGUGCUGCCCUGCGAUUUGUCAAUAAAGAUACUUAGAAACAGAAAAGUUAUAGCGAA
ensembl:lncRNA